GUUGACGUGCAGCCUGUGUGUGUGUGUGUGUGUGUGUUUGGUUUAAUAGUCUCUACGGCUCCAGUAUAACUAGUAUUAGCUGAGGACUGCAGUCCUGCCAUCGACAAUAGGAAUCCAUAUUUUUAAUAUGCAAGUACAAAUAGCGUCUGCAUAUAAAAUCGUUAAAAGCCCCAAUAAACCUAUUAGACGUUGUUGAUCCGACAGAUGGAGGAUCAUAUUUCUACCAGCGCAGCAGAAUCAGGCGCGUCUGAUUAUUGGGAUUAUACCCUGAAACAUCCAUCACUAAUAAUUCAUGUAAACAUUGGGACUUGGAAUCUCUGGCAACAUGUAAAUAAAAAUACAAUUUAAAAAAAACACAGUAAAAGAACCCAAACCUCUACAAAUCACAUUAUAUAUACCAAGUUAUUAUUUUAAUACAACUUUACGACACCCUCCGCUGAGUUAUUUCUCCAUAAAACCCGACACGUAAGACAAAUAAGGAGUUCAAGUGUACAGAUCAGCUCUGCUCCAAAGUUUGCUCCAAAACGUGGACAUUUUCAGUGACCUCUUUAGCGGGACAAAGGAAGCCGCAGAUCGAUUCGUUACACCUAUUUUCCUUUUUUUCUGUGAGGCUGGUGGCCAAGGGGAGGGGCUCCGAAUCCACGAGGGGCUCCAUUAAAAGCCUACACUCCGUCCUAACUAUUAUCCACCAUAAAGUGUUGAUAAAGGGCACACAAGUAGCCUAUAAUGUGAUCUCAAGCGAGACGAAAUACGGGUUGGAGAGGACGGGGGACGAGCGGGAAGGGGCGCGAACGUCUCAAGUGUGAGUGAUAGCGUCCCGAAUAACGGGGAUGGCGCACGGGGAGCGGGUCGGUCCAGCCCGGAAGGCGCAUCCUCUCCAGCACGCGGACACCUACGGGACUUUAGGACACUAUUCACCCACCGGUCCGGCAUGCGGAUUUACGAGACACCGGAUAACCAAACCCUGCUGCCGACCGUCCUGGUCGGACGUGAGCAUCGACAAAGCUGUUCACGAGAUCUACGUGAUCGUCCCUUAAAGGAGUUCUGCUGCUUGUCAAACGAGAUUGUGGCCUGUGGCUAACCAUUUUGCAGCCAUAAACCUGCGAUGUCAGAAGGUCGGGGCUCCUCUGGUAUGCGAGUACAGCAAAUUGGCUGUCAGGGGUCUGACGUGGUGUUUAAUGUCUCUGUGAUAUGGUUUUUGAGGAAUCUCUUAUAUUUCGAUGUUGGUCGUAUAGCGAUCUGCUGCAGCGCCGGACCUCUGAACCCGUUCUUGGCGGACUUAACUAGAGUGAAAUCUUUUCCCUGGGUGUCACUCAAAUAAGUUAACAUUUGGAAUGACGACGGCUUACAGCUUAUGAUAAUGCCGCUCUUCAUAAUCUUGAGUAAUCUUCAAUCAAUGAUGGGUCCUAUCAGAUUCCAGACGCUCAUUGACAGGCUGAAUAUAAGAAUAUAUAAUAAAAAAUUAAUAAAGAAGAGGCUCUAACUUUGACAUGAGGUAUAUCUCCACAUCUAUCUGAUAAGACUGCAUAAUUAAAAUGCCAAGUGUGAGUGUGGAGAGAAAGAAAGAGAAGUUUUGAUAUUUUAUGGAGAUUUACUUUUCCACGACUUGUUUUAUGUAUAGACUUAAAAAAAAAGAUAUAUGUUGCCGUAGGUUUGACAAUGCAAUUAAAGGUUUGUAAUCCUUGCCUGAGCUUUUUUUUUUUUCAGGUUGUGUCAGUUUGGACGAGGAAUGUGAUGAGAUGCUGUGCAGCGGUGACACAUGCAGGUUUAUUAAAGGAUCCAAGUCUC